GACAGAGGGUGCAAACGUUGCUCGGAAUUACUGGGCGUAAAGGGCGUGUAGGCGGGAAGGCAAGUCGGGCGUGAAAGCCCCAGGCUCAACCUGGGAACUGCACUCGAAACUGCCUUUCUUGAGUGCCGGAGAGGAAAGCGGAAUUCCUGGUGUAGAGGUGAAAUUCGUAGAUAUCAGGAGGAACACCGGUGGCGAAGGCGG
rnacentral:rRNA from 1 species